rnacentral:rRNA from 1 species
GACGAACGCUGGCGGCGUGCUUAACACAUGCAAGUCGAACGGUAAGGCCCUUCGGGGUACACGAGUGGCGAACGGGUGAGUAACACGUGGGUGAUCUGCCCUGCACUUUGGGAUAAGCCUGGGAAACUGGGUCUAAUACCGGAUAGGACCAUGGACUUCACGGUUUGUGGUGGAAAGCUUUUGCGGUGUGGGAUGGGCCUGCGGCCUAUCAGCUUGUUGGUGGGGUAAUGGCCUACCAAGGCGACGACGGGUGGCCGGCCUGAGAGGGUGUCCGGCCACACUGGGACUGAGAUACGGCCCAGACUCCUACGGGAGGCAGCAGUGGGGAAUAUUGCACAGUGGGCGCAAGCCUGAUGCAGCGACGCCGCGUGGGGGAUGACGGCCUUCGGGUUGUAAACCUCUUUCAGUAGGGACGAAGCGCAAGUGACGGUACCUACAGAAGAAGCACCGGCCAACUACGUGCCAGCCGCCGCAGUAA